UACGUAGGGGGCAAGCGUUGUCCGGAAUUAUUGGGCGUAAAGAGCGUGUAGGCGGUCCGGUAAGUCGGCUGUGAAAGUCCAGGGCUCAACCCUGGGAUGCCGGUCGAUACUGCCGGACUAGAGUUCGGAAGAGGCGAGUGGAAUUCCCGGUGUAGCGGUGAAAUGCGCAGAUAUCGGGAGGAACACCUAUGGCGAAGGCAGCUCGCUGGGACGUUACUGACGCUAGACG
rnacentral:rRNA from 1 species